rnacentral:tRNA from 1 species
GCGCCGGUGGUGUAAUGGCGUAGACCAUUCCCGGUCAUCCAGAGGGAGGUGCGGGUUCGAGUCCCGCCUGGCGCU